rnacentral:rRNA from 1 species
UGAGGAAUAUUUGUCAAUGGGCGAGAGCCUGAACCAGCCAAGUAGCGUGCAGGAUGACGGCCCUAUGGGUUGUAAACUGCUUUUAUAUGGGAAUAAAGUGAGGGACGUGUCCCUUAUUGCAUGUACCAUACGAAUAAGGACCGCCUAAUUCCGUUCCAGCAGCCGCGGUAAUACGGAAGGUCCAGGCGUUAUCCGGAUUUAUUGGGUUUAAAGGGAGCGUAGGCUGUUUGUUAAGCGUGUUGUGAAAUGUAGGAGCUCAACUUUUAGAUUGCAGCGCGAACUGGCAGACUUGAGUGCGCACAACGUAGGCGGAAUUCAUGGUGUAGCGGUGAAAUGCUUAGAUAUCAUGACAAACUCCGAUUGCGAAGGCAGCUUACGGGAGCGCAACUGACGCUAAAGCUCGAAGGUGCGGGUAUCGAACAGG